AAAAUGUGUGUAGCAAACGUACCAACAUACUGUAGCAGCUGAAUUUGGGACGCUUGCAUUUCUUUUACACGUUUUUAGGAUAUGUCUAAAUGACACGAUUUCCUGAUUGCAAUGUAAAAACCAAUUAUUUCCAAAGUCCAGCAUAUUGGGACAUGCCACAUGAAGCUCCACUCUGCUGUCACGAAACUGCCUCUGAAAACACUUUUGCUGCUUUGCUGCACUGUGGUUCUCAAAGGAGCUGGAUGCACCUUGCAAAAGUUUGGUGAGCUCAAGUACUUCACCUGAGCUGCAGGAAAUGUCAGUGGCAAUCUGGAGAUUUUGUCAGUGCUGGCAAUGUUCACCAGAGUUUGAAAGAAGAUUUUACAUAUCUGCCAG
ensembl:lncRNA